UACGAAGGGGGCUAGCGUUGCUCGGAAUCACUGGGCGUAAAGCGCACGUAGGCGGAUUGUUAAGUCAGGGGUGAAAUCCUGGAGCUCAACUCCAGAACUGCCUUUGAUACUGGCGAUCUUGAGUCCGGGAGAGGUGAGUGGAACUGCGAGUGUAGAGGUGAAAUUCGUAGAUAUUCGCAAGAACACCAGUGGCGAAGGCGGCUCACUGGCCCGGUACUGACGCUGAGGUGCGAAAGCGUGGUGAGCAAACAGG
rnacentral:rRNA from 1 species